rnacentral:rRNA from 1 species
GUAAGGAAUAUUGGGCAAUGGAGGCAACUCUGAACCAGCCAAGUAGCGUGCAGGAUGACGGCCCUAUGGGUUGUAAACUGCUUUUAUGCGGGGGUAAAGUGAGUGACGUGUCAUUCAUUGCAAGUACCGCAAGAAUAAGGACCGGCUAAUUCCGUGCCAGCAGCCGCGGUAAUACGGAAGGUCCUGGUGUUAUCCGGAUUUAUUGGGUUUAAAGGGAGCGUAGGCCGUCAGGCAAGCGUGUUGUGAAAUGUCGUGGCUCAACCAUGGACUUGCAGCGCGAACUGCCCGACUUGAGUGCGCGGAAAGCAGGCGGAAUUUGUGGUGUAGCGGUGAAAUGCUUAGAUAUCACGAAGAACCCCGAUUGCGAAGGCAGCCUGCUGUAGCGCUACUGACGCUGAAGCUCGAAAGUGCGGGUAUCGAACAGGAUUAGAAACCCGAGUAGUCC